UUUUGAGGCCACCGAAAGUAAAAGGGCCCGCUUUGGGCCUGGCCAGCGGCAGAGGCCAACUCGGGCCAAUGCUGCCACCUGCCGUGGGCGCGGAGAACAGGGCGCGCCGCCUCGGCCUUCCUGUUUUGUUCGACCCUCUGCACCCAUGCAAGGAAGGUUCUUCGCCAGCCAGACCAGGGCUAUUUUAAAAGACCAGCGCCUAUCCCCAGCCAUUAAGCCCAGCGAGGCCCCGACAGUGGGGAGGGGAGGGACCGGACCGAGAUCGCUUUGCUCACGAGCGCCAUCUGCCGAGCCUGCGCGGGAAAUGCGUGAAUAUCCGGCACAAUGCAGGUUACUCACCCCCAGGAAGGGACAGAUCCACAGGUGGGGGUCUGUACCCGAGAGACCACUAUCUUCAGAGAACAGCCCUGGCUGUGACCCGGGAACUUUGCAACUCUGAAUUGUCUCGAAGAGUACUCAACAAAGAGAUCUGUCCCUGGAGACUGCUCUAGGCAGAGGAAGAGGCCGAGGGAGGCAGCGAAUGAAUUCCCAGGUUGUAAAGGAAAGAGGUAAUGGGGGAGGGGGGAGGGCUUUUGGUUUGGAGACAGUAAAAUUUGCGGUUCCUGCCGGCUGAAAUCUCCCAGAACAAAGAAACCACUUCCCAGCUCCCGCCCUGCACUUCCUCCAACCAGCUCUCUCUCUCUCUCUCUCCUGCUAUGGUGGUUUUGUGCAGUAGGUUUGAGAAUGCUCCAGAAUUCAGUGAACACUAUUCUGGUCAGGCAGAGCUUGCCCAUCCCUUUAUGUGUAAUUUGCCCAAUCUUAAGAAGCCAGUGCUGGAUCCAAGCUCUGAACAGGAGCCACACUGACAGCCAUGACAUGCCACCUUAGCAUUUUGCUUGCCUGCCAGGUGCCCAGCACUCACUUGGCACAACUGUACAUAUAUAUAUAUAUAUAUAUAUAUAUAUAUAUAUAUAUAUAUAUGUACAGUGUUGUAUACAAUGACAGCUGGGACCUCUAAGGGAGGGGAUUACAAAUGCAGGCAGGAUGUGGAAUCCACCUUUGCUCUCAGUCCAUCAUCUCCCUGAGGAAUUCCUUUCCUCAGCCUGCUUCCAUCCUGCCCUCCAGUCCCUUAUACAUAAGCCCUUCUCAGAAGUUCAGGCAGCACAGUCUCAGAGAACCAU
rnacentral:lncRNA from 1 species